AAACGGCCGCGUUAGCGUGAGCGUGCUAAGGUAGCGUAAUAAUUAGCCUUUUAAUUGAAGGCCAGUGAAUGGCAAGACUAGGAACACCUUUACUUUGCAUACCAAAAAAACUUUUCGUCUAAGUGAAAAGACUUAGAUAACAAAGGUAGACGAAAAGACCCCGCGGAACUUUACCUUUUCUUGCAUUACUAUACAUUUAUUUCAUAAAGCUUUAAGGUUUGAUUGGGGCAAUCUUGGAAUCAACAAAGCUUCCACCUUUAUAAAAAACUAUCAAAAAUUCAAUAAGGACCAAAAAGAAGUUACCCCGGGGAUAACAGCGUAAUCCAGCUUAAGAGUACAUAUCGAAAGUUGGGUUUGCGACCUCGAUGUUGGCUUAAGGACAUCCACAUAAGUGCAAC
rnacentral:rRNA from 1 species